UAGAAUAUAAGUUUAAAAUAUUUUUAAUCAAAAUCAUACAUGUAUAAAAAUAUAAAAUCAUAAAGAUCUAGUUCAUGUGCUGAAAUUGAUAUAUGCUGAAAUUCAGAUUGUGAUCAAUUCAUAUACCUAUUUUGCAAUCUCUUUCUUUGAAUCUGGAUUUGAAAGUGAAGAGAUUUUUUUUUAUCUAUAUAAGUAUCCAGCCUUUACAGGUAUCCACUCG
rnacentral:lncRNA from 1 species